UUACCCUUUCGUCUAUACAUUCGUCUGUUCGAUGUUCCCCGGCGUGUGUGUCCGUGCGUCACUAAGUUUAACUCUGAUAAUUCUACUGAUUGUGAAUCUUUGUUGGAGGAAAUGGAUACCGGUGUGGAACUGUACCUUGAUUCAGAUCACGGGGUUCAAAAUGAAGAUUUCUACCAAGUCGAGCCACUUGAAUGCCGCAUAAAACCUUCCGAGAAAGUCAAUUACAAAGUGCGUCUCCUGCCCAAGAACGAGUUAGCUCCA